GAUUAAAUCAUAAUUUUCCAGAGAAAACUCAACUUUUGAUUAUAAAUACUCCUAACAUCUCUAAAAAAAUUUCAGAUAAUGAGAGUAUUGAUAGUCCAGCAAGUGACAAUUACUCAUUCAGAGUACCUGCUUCAGAUAUUAAAAAAAAACAGAUGUUGGAAUAGAAUCUGUAAUUAAAGAAACGUCACAAUUAAUAUCGGCAGCUUGCUCAUCUUUGCCAACAUUUCUAAAUGCAUCUUCCAAGGCAGACACAAAAGAAGAUGAAAGUUUAAUGUCAUUUUUGUUACUUGGGUUUAAACAUGUGCCUGCACAACAGAAAAUAAGAUGCGUGGUCCAAAUAUUAGAGGUUGUCUGAAGGGUGAAAGAUUUCCUUUUAUAAUUGGUGUGUGGUAUGGACAUUCAAAGCCCGAUGAUUUAGAAGGAUAUUUAUCUGAUUUUAUUGAAGAAAUUAAAAAUUUGAGUAGAAAUAGUUAUAAUUUCUAUGGAAAAAAUAUUGUUUUU
rnacentral:misc_RNA from 1 species